rnacentral:rRNA from 1 species
GACGAACCGUGCGAACGUUGCUCGGAAUCACUGGGCGUAAAGCGCACGUAGGCGGCUUUUUAAGUCAGGGGUGAAAUCCUGGAGCUCAACUCCAGAACUGCCUUUGAUACUGGGAGCUCGAGUCCGGGAGAGGUGAGUGGAACUCCGAGUGUAGAGGUGAAAUUCGUAGAUAUUCGGAAGAACACCAGUGGCGAAGGCGGCUCACUGGCCCGGUACUGACGCUGAGGUGCGAAAGCGUGGGGAGCAAACAGG